GAUGAACGCUAGUUACAGGCUUAACACAUGCAAGUCGAGGGGCAGCACAGGUAGCAAUACCGGGUGGCGACCGGCGCACGGGUGAGUAACGCGUAUGCAACUUGCCUAUCAGAGGGGGAUAACCCGGCGAAAGUCGGACUAAUACCGCAUGAAGCAGGGGCCCCGCAUGGGGAUAUUUGCUAAAGAUUCAUCGCUGAUAGAUAGGCAUGCGUUCCAUUAGGCAGUUGGCGGGGUAACGGCCCACCAAACCGACGAUGGAUAGGGGUUCUGAGAGGAAGGUCCCCCACAUUGGUACUGAGACACGGACCAAACUCCUACGGGAGGCAGCAGUGAGGAAUAUUGGUCAAUGGGCGUAAGCCUGAACCAGCCAAGUCGCGUGAGGGAUGAAGGUUCUAUGGAUCGUAAACCUCUUUUAUAAGGGAAUAAAGUGCGGGACGUGUCCCGUUUUGUAUGUACCUUAUGAAUAAGGAUCGGCUAACUCCGUGCCAGCAGCCGCGGUAAUACGGAGGAUCCGAGCGUUAUCCGGAUUUAUUGGGUUUAAAGGGUGCGUAGGCGGCCUUUUAAGUCAGCGGUGAAAGUCUGUGGCUCAACCAUAGAAUUGCCGUUGAAACUGGGGGGCUUGAGUAUGUUUGAGGCAGGCGGAAUGCGUGGUGUAGCGGUGAAAUGCAUAGAUAUCACGCAGAACCCCGAUUGCGAAGGCAGCCUGCCAAGCCAUUACUGACGCUGAUGCACGAAAGCGUGGGGAUCAAACAGGAUUAGAUACCCUGGUAGUCCACGCAGUAAACGAUGAUCACUAGCUGUUUGCGAUACACUGUAAGCGGCACAGCGAAAGCGUUAAGUGAUCCACCUGGGGAGUACGCCGGCAACGGUGAAACUCAAAGGAAUUGACGGGGGCCCGCACAAGCGGAGGAACAUGUGGUUUAAUUCGAUGAUACGCGAGGAACCUUACCCGGGUUUGAACGCAUUCGGACCGAGGUGGAAACACCUUUUCUAGCAAUAGCCGUUUGCGAGGUGCUGCAUGGUUGUCGUCAGCUCGUGCCGUGAGGUGUCGGCUUAAGUGCCAUAACGAGCGCAACCCUUGCCACUAGUUACUAACAGGUAAAGCUGAGGACUCUGGUGGGACUGCCAGCGUAAGCUGCGAGGAAGGCGGGGAUGACGUCAAAUCAGCACGGCCCUUACAUCCGGGGCGACACACGUGUUACAAUGGCGUGGACAAAGGGAAGCCACCUGGCGACAGGGAGCGAAUCCCCAAACCACGUCUCAGUUCGGAUCGGAGUCUGCAACCCGACUCCGUGAAGCCGGAUUCGCUAGUAAUCGCGCAUCAGCCAUGGCGCGGUGAAUACGUUCCCGGGCCUUGUACACACCGCCCGUCAAGCCAUGAAAGCCGGGGGUACCUGAAGUACGUAACCGCAAGGAGCGUCCUAGGGUAAAACUGGUAAUUGGGGCUAAGUC
rnacentral:rRNA from 1 species